rnacentral:lncRNA from 1 species
AAUUCCGGUGAGAAGACACAGCAGGCGCACCGGCAACGAACGGGUCAGCAGUGAAUAGGGGACUGCAGGCGUGAACGUCGCUUGGAAAGGAAGCUUGAGCAGCGCGCAAGGGCGGAGGCGUGGCUACGGGUCAGUCGGAGCAGAGGUAGCGGCGAUCGGUCCCACAGGCGCCGGUGACAGUGCUGGGCUGUAGGUCGCGGUGGGCCUCAGCCCCAAACGGCGUCGGGGUGGCGCAAGCUUCGGGCGUCAGGUUGAGGCAAGGACAGCGGCGGGACG